UCCUACGGGAGGCAGCAGUAGGGAAUCUUCCGCAAUGGACGAAAGUCUGACGGAGCAACGCCGCGUGAGUGAUGAAGGUUUUCGGAUCGUAAAGCUCUGUUGUUAGGGAAGAACAAGUACCGUUCGAAUAGGGCGGUACCUUGACGGUACCUAACCAGAAAGCCACGGCUAAUUACGUGCCAGCAGCCGCGGUAAU
rnacentral:rRNA from 1 species